AUUGAACGCUGGCGGCAGGCCUAACACAUGCAAGUCGAGCGAGCGGCGGACGGGUGAGUAAUGCCUGGGAAUUGCCCAGUCGAGGGGGAUAACAGUUGGAAACGACUGCUAAUACCGCAUACGGUUGGAUUGCCCAGGUGGGAUUAGCUAGUUGGUGAGGUAAUGGCUCACCAGGGCGACGAUCCCUGGCUGGUCUGAGAGGAUGUCCACCCACCCUGGAACGGGACAACGUCCCAGCCUCCUCCGGGGGGCACCGGGGGGAAAUAUUGAACAAUGGGGGAAACCCUGAGGAGGCCAUGCCGGGUGUGUGAAGAAGGCCUUCGGUUUUUAAAGCCCUUUCAGCGAGGAGGCGUUACUCGCAGAAAAAGCACCGCCUAACUCCGUGCCAGCAGCGGCGUUAUAC
rnacentral:rRNA from 1 species